rnacentral:rRNA from 1 species
GAUGAACGCUGGCGGCGUGCCUAAUACAUGCAAGUCGAGCGAACGGACGAGAAGCUUGCUUCUCUGAUGUUAGCGGCGGACGGGUGAGUAACACGUGGAUAACCUACCUAUAAGACUGGGAUAACUUCGGGAAACCGGAGCUAAUACCGGAUAAUAUUUUGAACCGCAUGGUUCAAAAGUGAAAGACGGUCUUGCUGUCACUUAUAGAUGGAUCCGCGCUGCAUUAGCUAGUUGGUAAGGUAACGGCUUACCAAGGCAAAGAUGCAUAGCCGACCUGAGAGGGUGAUCGGCCACACGGGAACUGAGACACGGUCCAGACUCCUACGGGAGGCAGCAGUAGGGAAUCUUCCGCAAUGGGCGAAAGCCUGACGGAGCAACGCCGCGUGAGUGAUGAAGGUCUUCGGAUCGUAAAACUCUGUUAUUAGGGAAGAACAUAUGUGUAAGUAACUGUGCACAUCUUGACGGUACCUAAUCAGAAAGCCACGGCUAACUACGUG